UAGCACAGUGGUUAGAGCAGUCUGCCGGAAACAGAAAGACGCGGGUUCAAUUCCCGU
rfam:Nippostrongylus brasiliensis genome assembly, scaffold: NBR_scaffold0001642